rnacentral:rRNA from 1 species
GACGAACGCUGGCGGCGUGCCUAAUACAUGCAAGUUGAGCGCUGAAGGUUGGUACUUGUACCAACUGGAUGAGCAGCGAACGGGUGAGUAACGCGUGGGGAAUCUGCCUUUGAGCGGGGGACAACAUUUGGAAACGAAUGCUAAUACCGCAUAAAAACUUUAAACACAAGUUUUAAGUUUGAAAGAUGCAAUUGCAUCACUCAAAGAUGAUCCCGCGUUGUAUUAGCUAGUUGGUGAGGUAAAGGCUCACCAAGGCGAUGAUACAUAGCCGACCUGAGAGGGUGAUCGGCCACAUUGGGACUGAGACACGGCCCAAACUCCUACGGGAGGCAGCAGUAGGGAAUCUUCGGCAAUGGACGAAAGUCUGACCGAGCAACGCCGCGUGAGGGAAGAAGGUUUUCGGAUCGUAAAACUCUGUUGGUAGAGAAGAACGUUGGUGAGAGUGGAAAGCUCAUCAAGUGACGGUAACUACACAGAAAGGGACGGCUAACUACGUG